GUGCUUGCUUCAGCAGCACAUAUAUAAAAUUGGCACGAUACAGAGAAGAUUAGCAUGGCUCCUAUGCAAGGAUGACACAUGAAUUUGUGAAGCAUUCCAUAUUUUU